UACGUAGGUGACCAGCGUUGUCCGGAUUUACUGGGCGUAAAGAGCGCGCAGGCGGUCGUUCAAGUCGAGUGUGAAAGCCCCCGGCUCAACUGGGGAGGGUCACUUGAUACUGAUCGACUCGAAGGCAGGAGAGGGAAGCGGAAUUCCCGGUGUAGUGGUGAAAUGCGUAGAUAUCGGGAGGAACACCAGUGGCGAAGGCGGCUUCCUGGCCUGUUCUUGACGCUGAGGCGCGAAAGCUAGGGGAGCAAACGGGG
rnacentral:rRNA from 1 species